rnacentral:lncRNA from 1 species
CCAGGCGCCAGGGUCCCCCAGACUUCCAGUCUUCCUAGUGGAGACUCCCUGAACCUGCAGCCCCAGCAACGUGAUCUCUGGUGCCACGUAGAGUGGGAGGAGUUAAGUGGCAACGGUAAACGGAAGUUUUCUUUUCUUUUCUUUUUUUUUUUGAGAGAGGGUGAAGACAUGCUAUCAGGCAAUGGGAAUGGAAAACCAGAAGAAGUGAGAGCUGAUUCUGAAUGGGAAAUGUACAUGAUUUGGCCUUAGCUGAUAAGGAACACAUACAACAGCAGGGUUGGGGCACAGUGGUGGGGGUACGCAGUGAGCUUUGUUUACGUACCUUUUGGGCAAAGGGAUACUGUAUUUUGUCUUAGAAAAAGGAUUACAAUAACAAGUCACAGGGUUAAUUUGGAUGGCAAGCACGGGAGGUGUGCGUGAUGGAGAGGCCCGGUGAGUGUUUGGGAAAAUGAGUGAGGAGCUCCGGAGAGGGCAAGGUGUAAACUCGGAGCCAUGGAGGACAGGCAGAAAAUGAGCUGCCGUGGGAAGAGGAACAGAGGAGAAAGCAGCGGUGAGGACAGAGCUGUGCGGAAAAGCAACGUCGAGGACCGGGGACCAUCAAGAGCUAAGGGGAGAGCGGGGUGGGGGGAGGAGAGCUCACUUCUCUGGCUACGGCCCAGCAGGGAAGGGGCACGGGAUGGCAGGCAGCAGGGCAAGAUGAGCCCCCAAACCUUCCCACCCCCGCCAACCCUGGGCUCUUUCCUGGUUGGGUUUGAGUAGCCUGGGCCAGGGCCCCACGCCUGCCCUGCUGGAGUAUGACUGCAUUGCAGGGGGCAGGAAUGCAGUCACAGCACAGGCCUCCCUGUGGUGCUGGGCACCCCUUGGGGACGGCAGUGCCCUGUGCUCUCCCACACACGGAGCGGAUGAGCAGGUGUUAGAUGCCAGGCCAAGACUGGGAUGUUUCAGCACAGUUGAAGGGUACCAGCAUUUGGGGGGUGUGUGGUCUAAGCCCGUGUUCUGUGAGCACCGUUAUCCACGCAUAAGCAAAGCUGAUUCAGACAUCAAUUAGCCAUGGGGGGCUGCUCCUUUCAAGGGUUGGUUAUGAAUAUAAACUAUUCUUAAAAUCUUGUUGAGUAAACUGGCAGGAGACAUCGAGUGAGUGCAAAACAAUCGCCAUAAACUUCACGUUCAAGUAGCUCAGAUGGUUGUCGCUUGACUGCCAUAGCCAUUUCCCCACCUUUUUUAUAAUAAUAAGCCCCACAUUUGCAUUUCAUUGAAAGGGAAAGCAAACCAGGAAGGCUGAGUUUGGAGACCGGGCUACAGCGGGCUGUGCUUCUGGGUCACCCCCGUCCUGGGCCACCCCGUCCUGGGCUACCCCCGGGCCUGCUGCAUCAGAGCCAGCCCCGAAUCUGCUCGUCCGAGCGCCUGCCAUGACUCACAGGAUGGAGGCAGCUGGAGGCCGGAAGCCUCUGCAGUCCCAGGCAAUGACAGAGCAGUCCCCAGUCCUGGCUGUCACCAUGGAGAUGUUUGCUGGUUUCCUACUUCCUCACGUCUCAGCUCUGGGUCACUUUCUUGGCUCCUUUCCUAUUCGCUUUCCUGCCUUGAUAAAGGCCUAAUUUUAAAAUCAUUGUGAAAUUUCAAGAAAGACAGUCUCUCCUUGUCCCGUGUGCCACUGAUUCCUUGAAGGAGCCCGCGUGUGACCCCAGGCUCCCCCAGCAACUCGGGGAGAGGAAGUUCUGUUCAGUCCUUGCACCCUGCAUGCAUCUCUGCUCCGGGUCAG